rnacentral:rRNA from 1 species
CCAGACUCCUACGGGAGGCAACAGUGGGGAAUAUUGCGCAAUGGGCGAAAGCCUGACGCAGCGACGCCGCGUGGAGGAUGAAGGCUUUUGGGUCGUAAACUCCUGUUAGGUGGGAAGAAGGACUUGUUUUGAAUAUAAGCAAGUUAUGACGGUACCAUCAGAGAAAGCACCGUCUAACUUCGUGCCAACAGCCGCGGUAAUACGAGGGGGGCAAGCGUUAUUCGAAAUUACUGGGCGUAAAGGGGGUGUAGGCGGCGUAUUAAGUCUGUUGUUAAAUUUUUCGGCUUAGCCGAUAAUCUGCGAUGGAAACUGAUAUGCUUGAGGAUGAGAGAGAUAAAUAUAAUUCCCGGAAUAGCGG